UGGGAGUUGGAUUUCAGAACGUUUUCCAGGGAUGCUUUCUCCAGCACAAAUUAUGGAUUGGUUCCUUUGAACAGGUCUCAAAGAGAAUGUGGGGUGGUCACCAGCGGUCAGUGGACGAGAGGCAGGGUACACCCUGGACAGGGUCUCUGGGGGGCCUGUGCCUAUCUCCAGCGGUUGUUGGGUGAGUGGCGGGGUAACCCCAGGACAGGUCGCCAGUCCAUCCCAGUUGGCACCUACCCACACCCCUAAAAGAACCAGUACCCACUUUAGACCUGGCCGAAUGUCACUGUGUUUAAAUUGGCCAGCAAACUAGGUAUUUCUCCAGUGUCUCCUUAACAAUCUAUAUGGUUGCAUUUCAACAGUUCCUGAUUCUCUGUAAUUGAUUGAUUUCUCUCACUUUUAUUUCGUAAUUGUUUUAUUACCAAUAAAUGUCUGUUUACUUGAUUUGAUCAUUUUGAUUAUUUCAUUGUGUGUCUUUAGCAGUUAAAUGUCUUUAUUUCCGUUAUAACCUCUGUAAAGCUCUCAGUGUAACACCUGACUGUAUGAAAAGUGCUCUAUAUAUAAAGUUGGAUUGACUGAUUAAAGCAAAAAGUAAAAGGGGCAGGAGUCCACAAGUUUUCUUCUGCCCCCAUCUUUUUUCAUGUUAAAACGUUUGUUCUUUGAUUCUUUUGUUAUUCGGUAUAUUGUUGUUUCUUGUUAUAAAUGUUCAUUGACAAUAAUUACAUAAAAAGAAAUAAGAUGGGACAAUAAGCACCUUAAGUGAAUCUCAGAGAGUGCUUCAACAUGAUAACCAAGCCCUGGU